CCUACGGGAGGCAGCAGUGGGGAAUAUUGGACAAUGGGCGAAAGCCUGAUCCAGCCAUGCCGCGUGUGUGAAGAAGGCCUUCGGGUUGUAAAGCACUUUCAGUGGGGAAGAAAGCCUUGGGGCUAAUACCCUCGAGGAAGGACAUCACCCACAGAAGAAGCACCGGCUAACUCCGUGCCAGCAGCCGCGGUAAUACGGAGGGUGCGAGCGUUAAUCGGAAUUACUGGGCGUAAAGCGCGCGUAGGCGGUCUGAUAAGCCGGUUGUGAAAGCCCCGGGCUCAACCUGGGAACUGCAUCCGGAACUGUCAGGCUAGAGUGCAGGAGAGGAAGGUAGAAUUCCCGGUGUAGCGGUGAAAUGCGUAGAGAUCGGGAGGAAUACCAGUGGCGAAGGCGGCCUUCUGGACUGACACUGACGCUGAGGUGCGAAAGCGUGGGUAGCAAACAGGAUUAGAUACCCGUGUAGUC
rnacentral:rRNA from 1 species